rnacentral:rRNA from 1 species
GAUGAGCGCUGGCGGCGUGCCUAAUACAUGCAAGUCGAGCGAACGGGCGAGAAGCUUGCUUCUCUGAUGUUAGCGGCGGACGGGUGAGUAACACGUGGAUAACCUACCUAUAAGACUGGGAUAACUUCGGGAAACCGGAGCUAAUACCGGAUAAUAUUUUGAACCGCAUGGUUCAAAAGUGAAAGACGGUCUUGCUGUCACUUAUAGAUGGAUCCGCGCUGCAUUAGCUAGUUGGUAAGGUAACGGCUUACCAAGGCAACGAUGCAUAGCCGACCUGAGAGGGUGAUCGGCCACACUGGAACUGAGACACGGUCCAGACUCCUACGGGAGGCAGCAGUAGGGAAUCUUCCGCAAUGGGCGAAAGCCUGACGGAGCAACGCCGCGUGAGUGAUGAAGGUCUUCGGAUCGUAAAACUCUGUUAUUAGGGAAGAACAUAUGUGUAAGUAACUGCGCACAUCUUGACGGUACCUAAUCAGAAAGCCACGGCUAACUACGUG